AAAUUGCUGUCAAUAUUGCUGCAUACACAUUUAAUGAAGAUGCUGCCGCAUAUUUAUUAAUGAUAAUAAAAGAAUUGUGCUGCAUAUUGCGAAAAUCAAGACCGAGCGCGCAUCGAUGUAGCCGAAGUACGAGCGCAGAAGGCGACGCGCGAAGAAAGGAUUGCUCGCCGUCAACAGAAGUCUUCACAGAGCGCUGCUGUUAUUGAUGUGGAAGGAAUCUCAUAUGGCCCCAGAAUUGCCGACUAGAGAUGGAUCGUUUAGACGGGACAGUGGUCACCGCAAAAUGCGUUUUUACAAACCUCAAUGUGUGUCAGCGGCCAUAUUACUGCUUUCCGUUGCCAUUGUUUAUAAAAAAAAUUUUUUUAUAUUGUCAAAACUUAAGUCAAUAAUCACCUAAAAUUUUAUUUAAUUCCCACUACCCGUUUAGGAGGAAUAAAAUAUCAAAGUUAGGCCUGUUUUUCGACCGUUUAGGUUGGUGUAACCCCUUAACACGAUAGAAGAUGCGCGUUUUAUAUACGGCGUUAUCCGCCAUACUUAUUGCUCUGUUAUAAUGUAAUAAAUAUAACAGCAUCCACAGUAGGUUGCUAUAAUAAUGUUAAAUUACAUUGUCUACCUAAAGGCUGGGGCUAAUAAUUAACAACGCAAUAUCAAUGUGGUCAUUAAAAAGAGUACAACGCAUGUUAUAUAAUGAAACAUUUAUCACGAGAUUUAGUAGCGAUAACUGGGAUGAAUAUUUGGUUUUUUUCAAGUGGUGGAGAAGUGAAAUUAUAGCCGAUACACGUUAUGGUUUAAUUAAUCUUUGAUUAUUAAAAGUGUACACGUGUCAAAAUAAAUACGAAAAAAA